rnacentral:rRNA from 1 species
UGCGUAGGUGGCAAGCGUUGUCCGGAUUUAUUGGGCGUAAAGCGCUCGCAGGUGGUCCGAUGCGUCGUGCGUGAAAGACCCCGGCUCAACUGGGGAGUGUCGUGCGAUACGGUCGGACUGGAGGCCAGUAGGGGGAUGCGGAAUUCCGGGUGUAGUGGUGGAAUGCGUAGAGAUCCGGAGGAACACCAGCGGCGAAGGCGGCAUCCUGGACUGGUCCUGACACUCAUGAGCGAAAGCGUGGGGAGCGAUCCGG